AACCAGCGCCAUCGGCCCCAUGCCAUUGCAACCAUCAUAAUGUCCCACAGCCAGCGCCAUCAGCCCCAUGUCAUUGCCAGUUUGCCACCAUCAUCAUGUCCCCCAUCAGCCCCAUGCCAUAGCCAUCCACCCCCCCCCCCCCACCCCCUGGUAGAUUCGGGCCCCUGCUAAUAUACUUGCCUUUCCUGCAGGGUGCGCGGCUGGCUGAUGGAGUUCGCAGGAGACGGACUGCGUCUUCUUCCCAGCAUGCACUGGGAGGGACCUGACAUCACACACAGCGUCAGCCAGCGUGCUGACGAUGUGUGCGCGCAAGGCCCUGGCCAGUGCAGCGCUGUGCAGAGUCGGGAGGCCACGGAGCGCUAUGGCAGGGAUUUC